CCUACGGGUGGCAGCAGUGGGGAAUAUUGGGCAAUGGAGGAAACUCUGACCCAGCAACGCCGCGUGAAUGAUGAAGGUCUUCGGAUUGUAAAGUUCUUUUCUAAGGGAAGAAGAAAGUGACGGUACCUUAGGAAUAAGCCUCGGCUAACUACGUGCCAGCAGCCGCGGUAAUACGUAGGAGGCGAGCGUUAUCCGGAAUGACUGGGCGUAAAGGGUGCGUAGGUGGUUUGACAAGUUAGUAGCGUAACUCCAAGGCUCACCCUUGGAACUACUACUAAAACUGUUGGACUUGAGUGCAGGAGGGGCAAGCGGAAUUCCUAGUGGAGCGGUGGAAUGCGUAGAUAUUAGGAGGAACACCGGUGGCGAAGGCGGGUUGCUGGACUGUAACUGACGCUGAGGCACGAAAGCGGGGGGAGCAAACAGGAUUAGAUACCCCUGUAGUC
rnacentral:rRNA from 1 species